rnacentral:ncRNA from 2 species
AGUGUAGAUAGAGGUGCAAGUUUCAAAAGUAAAAGUCCGGAGAAUGAUCGGAUUCGAGGAAGGCUUUGAAAGGGGAUGCUUGCCGAAGUGGGGAGAUGCCUAUCGAUUUUCCUGCUGGUCCUUCGUUGAAUAAACGCAGGAUUGUCAAGAUUGCCAUCUUGGAGUGCUAUCUCAUGU